UACGUAGGCAGCAAGCGUUGUUCGGAAUUACUGGGCGUAAAGAGUGUGUAGGCGGUGUUCUGAGUUUGUCGUGAAAUCUCCCGGCUUAAACUGGGAGGGUGCGGCGAAAACUGGAAUGCUAGAGGAUGGGAGAGGUAAGCGGAAUUCCUGGUGUAGCGGUGAAAUGCGCAGAUAUCAGGAAGAACACCCGUGGCUAAGGCGGCUCUCUAGUACGGUACUGACGCUGAGACGCGAAAGCGUGGGGAGCGAACAGG
rnacentral:rRNA from 1 species